GACGAAGGGGGCUAGCGUUGUUCGGAAUUACUGGGCGUAAAGCGCGUGUAGGCGGUUGUCCAAGUUGGAUGUGAAAGCCUUGAGCUUAACUCAAGAAGUGCAUUCAGGACUGGAUGACUAGAGGACCGGAGAGGAUAGUGGAAUUCCAGGUGUAGCGGUGAAAUGCGUAGAGAUGUGGAGGAACACCGAUGGCGAAGGCAGCCCCCUGGGAUGAGACUGACGCUCAUGUACGAAAGCGUGGGGAGCAAACAGG
rnacentral:rRNA from 1 species